GACGAACGCUGGCGGCGCGCUUAACACAUGCAAGUCGAACGGAAAGGCCCUGCUUUUGUGGGGUGCUCGAGUGGCGAACGGGUGAGUAACACGUGAGUAACCUGCCCUUGACUUUGGGAUAACUUCAGGAAACUGGGGCUAAUACCGGAUAGGAGCUCCUGCUGCAUGGUGGGGGUUGGAAAGUUUCGGCGGUUGGGGAUGGACUCGCGGCUUAUCAGCUUGUUGGUGGGGUAGUGGCUUACCAAGGCUUUGACGGGUAGCCGGCCUGAGAGGGUGACCGGCCACAUGGGGACGGAGAUACGGCCCAGACUCCUACGGGAGGCAGCAGUGGGGAAUAUUGCACAAGGGGCGGAAGCCUGAGGCAGCAACGCCGCGUGCGGGAUGACGGCCUUCGGGUGGUAAACCGCUUUCGCCUGUGACGAAGCGUGAGUGACGGUAAUGGGGAAAGAAGCACCGGCGAACUACGU
rnacentral:rRNA from 1 species